ACGCACGGCCGGCGGGGCCGGCGCUCCAGGCCGUUGAUCUCCCCGCCCGGAUCGCGCAGGAUCGCGAGCGUUGGGAGUAAACACCCCGCAUGGAGAUCCAGGCGUGUUCGCCGCGGAGGCGCCGUUAUCCCGGACCGGGCGGACCCGAGCGUGAGGCCGCCGCAGGGCACAGGCUCCAGACGCGCAGGCUCAGUAGUUGUGGCUCACGGGCCCAGUUGCUCCGCGGCACGUGGGAUCUUCCCAGACCAGGGCUCGAACCCGUGUCCCCUGCAUUGGCAGGCAGAUUCUCAACCACUGCACCACCAGGGAAGCCCAACAUGGUGGUCACAAAGCACCGAGCUGAUCUCCCUGUGCUAUGCGGCUGCUUCCCACCAGCUAUCUAUUUUACAUUUGGUAGUGUCUAUAUGUCAAUGACACUCUCUCACUUCAUCUCAGCUUACCCCCACUGGAAUGGUUUUGACCCAGAAAGAAUGUCACCAAUAAACAGUCUCAGUGUGAAACAAGAUAGAGAACAACCCCUCAGGGAGCUCACUGUAAGGCUGGAGGCAAGGCCCCUCCUACACUUUUCUUCACUCCCACAUGGAGCAAAAGACUCAGUUAUGUGUUUAGUCCAAAUCUUGUAAAGCAGCACUGGCUGUAGGGGCUAACCCUGCCCUUUGUUUCCAGGUGUCCCAAGCUGAUUCUUAAAUCAGCUUUGUUGAAAUUAAUAUGCCUACUCCAAAGUUUUUAGUUUAGUAUUAACUUAAUAUGCCUUUCUUAUUCCCUUUACAUUUUUUGAAUUAUUGGAAUUUAUUUUUAGAAUAGUUUUGAGCUUGCAGAAAACUUGAGCAGCAUGUUCAGAGUUCCCAUAUACUCCCCCUCCCACUCCUUCCCUUGCCCUCAUUAUUAACAUCUUGCCUUGGUGUGGUAAGCACGUUAAAAUUGAACCUACAUUGAUACAUUGUUAUAAAAUAAAGUCAGUUAUUUUAAGAGCUCACAUUCUUUGUGAUCUACAGUUCUGUGGGUUUUGUCAAAGGCAUGAUGUUAUGUACCCACCAUUACCACCACAUCAUGUGGAAUAGUUUUACUGCCCUAAAAAUCCUGUCUGCUCUAGCUGUUCAUCCUUCCCUCCUCCCCUCCCCAAUCCCUGGCAGAUUGUUCUUUUUUUCACUGUGAAUAUGAUAAAUUCCAGAUUUUCUCCAAAUAUAUUAUGGCAGAUUAUACUCCAACACAUGGAAGGGAAGUAUUAUCACAGUAGUUUUUUUUCAAAUAUAAUCAGACUGGGUUUAUGCCUCUCCUACAAAGAUUGAUAAUAAUAAAAGUAUAUUGUCUCUAACACUUGUUCACCUGAGUUUGGAUUAUAUAAGAACUACUGAAAUAGGCCACCAAUCUUCCAACUCUUGUGCUAGAAAGAGCC